rnacentral:rRNA from 1 species
GACGAACGCUGGCGGCGUGCUUAACACAUGCAAGUCGAACGGAAAGGCCCUGCUUUUGUGGGGUGCUCGAGUGGCGAACGGGUGAGUAACACGUGAGUAACCUGCCCUUGACUUUGGGAUAACUUCAGGAAACUGGGGCUAAUACCGGAUAGGAGCUCCUGCUGCAUGGUGGGGGUUGGAAAGUUUCGGCGGUUGGGGAUGGACUUGCGGCUUAUCAGCUUGUUGGUGGGGUAGUGGCUUACCAAGGCUUUGACGGGUAGCCGGCCUGAGAGGGUGACCGGCCACAUAGGGACUGAGAUACGGCCCAGACUCCUACGGGAGGCAGGAGUGGGGAAUAUUGCACAAUGGGCGGAAGCCUGAUGCAGCAACGCCGAGUGCGGGAGGACGGCCUUCGGGUUGUAAACCGCUUUCGCGUGUGACGAAGCGUGAGUGACGGUAAUGGGUAAAGAAGCACCGGCUAACUACGU